rnacentral:tRNA from 1 species
GGAGGGGUGCCAGAGCGGUUGAAUGGGGCGGUCUCGAAAACCGUUGUAGGCGUAACCCGUCUACCGAGGGUUCGAAUCCCUCCCCCUCCG